UACGUAGGAUGCAAGCGUUGUCCGGAAUUAUUGGGCGUAAAGAGCGCGCAGGCGGUAACUCAAGUCAGAUGUGAAAUACCCGAGCUUAACUUGGGUGCUGCAUUUGAAACUGGGUGUCUAGAGUGCAGGAGAGGUAAGUGGAAUUCCUAGUGUAGCGGUGAAAUGCGUAGAGAUUAGGAAGAACACCAGUGGCGAAGGCGACUUACUGGACUGUAACUGACGCUGAGGCAUGAAAGCGUGGGGGAGCAAAACAGG
rnacentral:rRNA from 1 species